GAAGUGGGCGGUGAAAGGGCCUGAAUUUCGAUCAUCUCAAAACCUUCUGCAUAAAAUAUUCAUAUCAUAUAACAUGCAUACCCAUCUCAGGUGGCAAAUAGUCUAGAGUGCCGCACAUAGUCCGCCUUCGAUUAAAGGACCGGAAUGAUUAUCCCUGCCUGAUGGGUCUACAUCCAUCCCUGAAUGUCGUCGGCUGUAUUUAAACAAACAUUAUGGGUUUUAGGGAGUUUCCCAUCGUCUCCUUUUAUCUCUGGAAUUUUACCGUCUUCCGAUCGACGUAGCUCCGCAUUUUUAUAGUCAUGCUGCUGACUUAUAUUAGCUUUAGACUUCAGGUUAUCUUCAUUAGUCUUUAGCUUUUGUAUCUCAUUGUCCAUACUGUCCACUUUAGUACAAAGUGUAGUAAUGGCUUUGAGUAGCUCUUUAAUUGUAUCUUCGUUUUUGUUCUCAGUCUGAGUAGUUUUGUCUUGAUAAGUAGUCUGCAACACCAUUCUUAUUAGUCUUUAUUACUUCAAUUGUAAAUGUAAAGUUUAAUAUAUUCAAUAUCAAUCUUCUAAUUUCUUU